rnacentral:rRNA from 1 species
CGAAUGCUGACAUAAGUAACGAUAAAGCGGGUGAAAAGCCCGCUCGCCGGAAGACCAAGGGUUCCUGUCCAACGUUAAUCGGGGCAGGGUGAGUCGACCCCUAAGGCGAGGCCGAAAGGCGUAGUCGAUGGGAAACAGGUUAAUAUUCCUGUACUUGGUGUUACUGCGAAGGGGGGACGGAGAAGGCUAUGUUGGCCGGGCGACGGUUGUCCCGGUUUAAGCGUGUAGGCUGGUUUUCCAGGCAAAUCCGGAAAAUCAAGGCUGAGGCGUGAUGACGAGGCACUACGGUGCUGAAGCAACAAAUGCCCUGCUUCCAGGAAAAGCCUCUAAGCAUCAGGUAACAUCAAAUCGUACCCCAAACCGACACAGGUGGUCAGGUAGAGAAUACCAAGGCGCUUGAGAGAACUCGGGUGAAGGAACUAGGCAAAAUGGUGCCGUAACUUCGGGAGAAGGCACGCUGAUAUGUAGGUGAAGUCCCUCGCGGAUGGA